rnacentral:rRNA from 1 species
CCUACGGGAGGCAGCAGUGAGGAAUAUUGGUCAAUGGACGAGAGUCUGAACCAGCCAAGUAGCGUGAAGGAUGACUGCCCUAUGGGUUGUAAACUUCUUUUAUAUGGGAAUAAAACGUUCCACGUGUGGGCUUUUGUAUGUACCAUAUGAAUAAGGAUCGGCCAACUCCGUGCCAGCAGCCGCGGUAAUACGGAGGAACCGAGCGUUAUUCGGAUUUAUUGGGGUUAAAGGGUGCGUAGGGGGAUUGUUAAGUCAGUUGUGAAAGUUUGCGGGUCAAACGUAAAAUUGCAGUUGAAACUGGUAGUCUUGAGUACAGUAGAGGUAGGCGGAAUGCGUGGUGUAGCGGUGAAAUGCUUAGAUAUCACGAAGAACUCCGAUUGCGAAGGCAGCUCACUGGACUGCAACUGACGCUGAGGCUCGAAAGUGUGGGUAUCAAACAGGAUUAGAUACCCCUGUAGUC